UCAAGAAGAGACACGUGAUGCAAGUGCCCCGGCGCGGCCAAUGUGGGCUCUGCGCCGCCGCGUGAUGGGCGCGCGCGGCCGGGAGGGAGCGGCGGAUGUGGGUUGGAGCGGGUGAGGCCCGCCGGUCCCGAACGUCGGGAAUGGCCCCGGGACGCAUCUGGAUGUAAGGAUCCCGCCGCUGAACACUUACGGAGGCUCCGCACGGGUUUCGGCGGCUGCCGGUCCUGCUGCGCUGGUGAAGGCUCUGGGCAGUCACCGAGGAGAAGCUCCUGAACAUGCCCGUACUUACCAAAAAACGUUAAUGUAAAGGGUGUAUAAAACCGUAAAUAUUCUUGCUUCAA